rfam:Pteropus alecto contig95964, whole genome shotgun sequence.
GGUUCCAUAGUGUAACGGUUAGCACAUCUGCUUUACAUGCAGAAGAUCCUGGAUUUACACCCCAGUGGAACCA